UGGGGAAUCUUGCGCAAUGGGCGAAAGCCUGACGCAGCGACGCCGCGUGUGGGAUGACGGCCUGGUUGUAACCGCUUUCAGCAGGGACGAGGCCGCAAGGUGACGGUACCUGCAGAAGAAGCCCCGGCUAACUACGUGCCAG
rnacentral:rRNA from 1 species